UGGUCUUUACUUCAAGCAUAUGUACGUCUAUGCCAAAAAGGGGGGAUGGGGGGUAAUCUAACUAGCUUUGCAUUUUCUGGAAUUCUGUAACCAGCCCUGUGAAUAGAAAUCCGAGCAGCAUGUUUAUCACUUGGAGCACCCUUUGCGGCAGUUGCACUUCUGCCAUGUACAGAAGAAGAUGCAACAUCUACAAUACUGUAACCUGGAUGGACUUUAGUCUCACCAUUCAUGCCUGAUUUGAAAUCCUUUUUAAUGCAUUAUCUACAAAAUGGUGGCAAAUGCAGGGAAUACUUGCAUAUAUGAGGGAAACUUUGAGAUAGUACUGCCACAGGAAGUUGAAUUCGUUUUUCUCACAGCCAAGCAGGAGAGGAUCUGAUGAUGUAUACUAAAUCCAUGGCAAUACCUGAAUCGUUAUAAUAUGUUCCCUUCUGAAUGGUUCAUCAGUGAGAUGCUCCUUCCAGUUCUUAGUUUUUAGGUUUAAUUCUUUGAUUGCUGUGCAGCAAAAGUAAAUAGUUUAUGCAAUUUAUAUUUGCAGACGUGCUAUCUCUAAAUGGCUCAGAAGGUGCAUCCAGGUUAAGUAUUGCUUCUCUUAGAGAUGCGAAUCAUGGAGAUGACGAUGUGUACAAAGGUGGUGUAAUGAGAAGGGUAACACUAUCUGUGAGAUAUGCCACCAGGUGUGUCUCUUUUAAAUCUUUUAAUGUUAUUGUGCUAGUAUCACCUUAUCUAUUAUUUCUGCCUCCCUCCAUGUUCUUCUAUGUGCAGGUACUUUAGACUUUUAAUUCAUGUUCUGGGCUCAACUAAGAUGCUUUUGCCAAACGUCUGUAAUUGUAAUUGUUUUGCAUAUUGAAAACUCAUUGAGGCUUGAGAAUGUCAUGAAGAAUAUCUGUACGUAUUUAUCUGCUAGUAGGUACUUUUGGAAACAUGUUCACCUUCUCUCCUCAAAUCUCUUUAAUCACUUGCGGAGUAGGUCAUUUUCUUAACAUUUCUUCUAAAAUAUUUUUGUGGCCACAGGGAUGUCGUAUCAUUUCUUCAAACAAAUAAUUCUGUCUUGAUGUGGAGUAGGUCAUUUUCAUCGGAUAGU
rnacentral:lncRNA from 1 species